AUCCGACUGACGUGUCCCAAAUAAAACGAAAUGUGCGUCCUGAAU
rnacentral:hammerhead_ribozyme from 1 species